rnacentral:lncRNA from 13 species
CCACACACACAUGCACCUAUAUAUACACCAUUUACCAUCCACACACACACCAUUCAGACCCACAUAAACACACACACACAGCAUCCACACACGCAAAUGUACACACUCCGUUUACCAUCCACAUACACACCAUUUACAGACACACACGCCAUCCACACACACACACACAUUUACCAUCCACACUCACACCAUUCAGACACACAUAAACACACACAGACACACAGCAUCCACACACACCACUUACAGACACACACAAACACACACGCCAUCCACACACACAUGCACCAUUUACCAUCCACACACACCACUUACAGACAAACACACCAUCCACACACACGCACAGCAUACACACAUAUACACAUUUACCAUCCACACACAUGCACCUACACACACACCAUUUACCAUCCACACACAUACCACUUACAGACACACACACACACACCAGUUACAGACAAACACACACCAUCCACACACACACACAGCAUCCACACACACGCACAUACACACACAUCAUUUACCAUCCACACACACCACUUACAGACACACAGACACACCAUCCACACACACAUGCACCUACACACACAGCAUUUACCAUCCGCACACAUACCAUUUAGACACACAUCCACACACACAUGCACAUACACACACUCCAUUUACCAUCUACAUAUCCACAGACACACACCAUCCACAGAUGCACAACAUCCACACACAUACACACCAUUUGCCAUCCACACACACACCACUUACAGACACACACACACAGAAACAGAUACACACCACACACGUGCACACACACAAUUUACCAUCCACACACACCAUUUAUAGACACACAAACACACAGACACACACCAUCUACACAUACGUAUGUACAGCAUACACACACACACACACACACACACACACACACUUGCACAUGACAUGGGAGCAGGGAGAAAGCUGGGCCGAGCCGCCCCAGACUCCUGACCUGGGCUAUGGAAUGCUGGGGAGAUGGAAGGAACCAAUCCAGGGGCCCUUGCUGGCAGCCCAAGUGGGGUCGACAGCCUUUCUGUUGGUUGCCAAGUAAAUGGCAGUGCUGAGUGGAGUCAGCCCCGUGGC